GAUGAAGAACGAAGCGAAAUGCGAUAAGUAAUGUGAAUUGCAGAAUUCAGUGAAUCAUCGAAUCUUUGAACGCACCUUGCGCUCCUUGGUAUUCCGAGGAGCAUGCCUGUUUGAGUGUCAUGAAAUUCUCAAACCCAUAAGUCUUUGCGGGCUUACGGGCUUUGGACUUGGAGGCUUGUCGGCGACCGUGAGGUCACAUCGACUCCUCUCAAAUGCAUUAGCUUGAUUCCUUGCGGAUCGGCUCUCGGUGUGAUAAUUGUCUACGCCGUGACCGUGAAGCGUUUUGGCAAGCUUCUAACCGUCUCUAACGAGACAGCUUACUUUGACCUCUGACCUCAAAUCAGGUAGGACUACCCGCUGAACUUAAGCAUAUCAAUAAGCGGAGGA
rnacentral:misc_RNA from 1 species